GACGAACGCUAGCGGCGUGCUUAACACAUGCAAGUCGAACGGAAAGGCCCUGCUUUUGUAGGGUGCUCGAGUGGCGAACGGGUGAGUAACACGUGAGUAACCUGCCCUUGACUUUGGGAUAACUUCAGGAAACUGGGGCUAAUACCGGAUAGGAGCUCCUGCUGCAUGGUGGGGGUUGGAAAGUUUCGGCGGUUGGGGAUGGACUCGCGGCUUAUCAGCUUGUUGGUGGGGUAGUGGCUUACCAAGGCUUUGACGGGUAGCCGGCCUGAGAGGGUGACCGGCCACAUUGGGACUGAGAUACGGCCCAGACUCCUACGGGAGGCAGCAGUGGGGAAUAUUGCACAAUGGGCGGAAGCCUGAUGCAGCAACGCCGCGUGCGGGAUGACGGCCUUCGGGUUGUAAACCGCUUUCGCCUGUGACGAAGCGUGAGUGACGGUAAUGGGUAAAGAAGCACCGGCUAACUACGUG
rnacentral:rRNA from 1 species